rnacentral:lncRNA from 10 species
UUAGUGGUGAAACCAAAGACUGAAGAAAAAAAAUUGUCACAGAAUCUCUCCCCAUGUUCAGGCAGCAAAAGUGGAGGACUUAUUGCUUAUUCCGCUCUCAGACAAGCUGGACUCUACAAAUUCAUGAAGCUAAACCUUGUUGUCGCUUCAGUACAUAAAGUACAACAUUUUGUUUCGAUGUCUGCGUCUUCUAAGACAUUAGCCUGGUUCCUCUCACGCAUUACUAGUUCUGUGUGUGUGUGUGUGUGUGUGUGCAUUUUUCUUUCUCUCUGGAUUUUCGACUUCCACCCCCAAAUUACCCAUUUUACUUUCUACAUUCUUCACCACACAGCCCUUUCUUCUCUGUUCUUUUCAUUUAUCUAGAGCAAAGAAAAUGCUAACCAAAUCCCUGAUACAAGAAAAUUACACAUAUACCUACUAUUUUUUUCAAAAAUAGAAAAAGAGGCCAGGUGCAGUGGCUUACCCCUGUAAUCCCAGCACUUUGGAGGCUGCAGUGGGUGGAUCACCUGAGGUCAGGAGUUCGAGACCAGCAUGGCCAACGUGGUGAAACCCCGUCUCUACUAAAAUUACAAAAAUUAGCUAGGUGUGGUGGUGGGCGCCUGAAAUCCCAACUACUCAGGAGGCCGAGGCAGGAGAAUCACUUGAACCCAGAAGGUGGAGGCUACAGUGAGCCAAGAUCGCACCAUUGCAUUGCACUGCAGCCUGGGCAACAGGAGCGAAACUCUGUCUCAAAAAAUAAAAGAAAAAAGAAAAUGUCAAGUAGGUUUUUUUUGUUUGUUUUUUUUUUUGAGAUGGACUCUCACUCUGUUUCUUUUGCCUGGGCUGGAGUGCAGCGGCGCGACCUCAGCUCACUGCAAACUCUGCCUCCCAGGUUCAUGCCAUUCUCCUGCCUCAGCCUCCCGAGUAGCUGGGACUACAGGCGCCGCUACCACGCUCAGCUAAUUUUUUGUAUUUUUAGUAGAGAUGGGGUUUCACCGUGUUAGCCAGGAUGGUCUCGAUCUCCUGAUCUCGUGAUCUGCCUGCCUCGGCCUCCCAAAGUGCUGGGAUUACAGGCGUGAGCCACCGUGCCCAGGCUGUAAGUUUUUAUUCAUUUAUAAGUUGUUGUGAUUUAUCUUCUUUAAAAUAUUACAACAUAGCUGGUAAGAUAUUGUAUCGGAUCAAGUUUUUGAAAACACUAAAUUAUAAAAAUUAUAUAAAUGGAAGACAUUAAUCUAUGAUAUAUGUUUUAUUUUGUGGAAAAGAAUUCUAUUUUUGGAAUUUCUUCCAUAUAAUAAAUAUUUAAAGUUGGACUAAGGAAAACAACUAUUCAAAAUUAGUUAUUUUGAAUAGUUAUUGAAAAUAUUCAAAAUACAAAAAUUUGUUCUCCAAUUUUUCUAGAGUCAUGAGUACACAAUCUCACAAGGAACUAUGGAAGACACUGAUAAAAGUCAGUAAAGUAACUCAAGCUGGGAGUGGUGGCUCAUACCUGUAAUCCCAAAGACUUGGAGGUGGGAGGAUUGCUUGAGGCCAGGAUUUUGAGACCAGGCUGGGCAACAUACUGAGACUCUGUCUCUAAAAAAAAAAUGAAA